rnacentral:hammerhead_ribozyme from 1 species
GUACUGCUGAAGAGUCCCAAACUCGGAUGAAACAGCCGUCCAGUAG